rnacentral:rRNA from 1 species
AGAGUUUGAUCCUGGCUCAGGACGAACGCUGGCGGCAUGCCUAACACAUGCAAGUCGAACGAGAAAGUUCCUUCGGGAGCAAUUAAAGUGGCGCACGGGUGAGUAACGCGUAGACAAUCUGCCCUUCAGUCUGGGACAACUUUUCGAAAGGAGAGCUAAUACCGGAUGACAAUGUAACACAUAAGUGUCACAUUUGAAAGCUUUAUGUGCUGAAGGAGGGGUCUGCGUCCCAUUAGCUAGUUGGUAAGGUAAAGGCUUACCAAGGCGACGAUGGGUAGCGGGUUUGAGAGGACGAUCCGCCACACUGGAACUGAGACACGGUCCAGACUCCUACGGGAGGCAGCAGUGGGGAAUAUUGCACAAUGGAGGCAACUCUGAUGCAGCAAUGUCGCGUGAGUGAAGAAGGCCCUUGGGUCGUAAAGCUCUUUUAUGGGGGAAGAUGAUGACGGUACCCCAAGAAUAAGCACCGGCUAACUAUGUGCCAGCAGCCGCGGUAAUACAUAGGGUGCGAGCGUUGUUCGGAAUUACUGGGCGUAAAGGGCGCGCAGGCGGAAUAGUAAGUCGGAGGUGAAAGCCCGGGGCUCAACCCCGGAGGGUCUUUCGAAACUGCUAAUCUAGAGAGGGUCAGGGGCCGGCAGAAUUCCUGGUGUAGAGGUGAAAUUCGUAGAUAUCAGGAGGAAUACCGG